UUGUACAUACGGGGGCUACCAUGCAGUCGGACGGUAGCACAGAGAGCUUGCUCUUGGGUGACGAGUGGCGGACGGGUGAGUAAUGUCUGGGGAUCUGCCCGAUAGAGGGGGAUAACCACUGGAAACGGUGGCUAAUACCGCAUAACGUCGCAAGACCAAAGAGGGGGACCUUCGGGCCUCUCACUAUCGGAUGAACCCAGAUGGGAUUAGCUAGUAGGCGGGGUAAUGGCCCACCUAGGCGACGAUCCCUAGCUGGUCUGAGAGGAUGACCAGCCACACUGGAACUGAGACACGGUCCAGACUCCUACGGGAGGCAGCAGUGGGGAAUAUUGCACAAUGGGCGCAAGCCUGAUGCAGCCAUGCCGCGUGUAUGAAGAAGGCCUUCGGGUUGUAAAGUACUUUCAGCGGGGAGGAAGGCGGUGAGGUUAAUAACCUUGCCGAUUGACGUUACCCGCAGAAGAAGCACCGGCUAACUCCGUGCCAGCAGCCGCGGUAAUACGGAGGGUGCAAGCGUUAAUCGGAAUUACUGGGCGUAAAGCGCACGCAGGCGGUCUGUUAAGUCAGAUGUGAAAUCCCCGGGCUUAACCUGGGAACUGCAUUUGAAACUGGCAGGCUUGAGUCUCGUAGAGGGGGGUAGAAUUCCAGGUGUAGCGGUGAAAUGCGUAGAGAUCUGGAGGAAUACCGGUGGCGAAGGCGGCCCCCUGGACGAAGACUGACGCUCAGGUGCGAAAGCGUGGGGAGCAAACAGGAUUAGAUACCCUGGUAGUCCACGCCGUAACGAUGUCGACUUGGAGGUUGUUCCCUUGAGGAGUGGCUUCCGGAGCUAACGCGUUAAGUCGACCGCCUGGGGAGUACGGCCGCAAGGUUAAAACUCAAAUGAAUUGACGGGGGCCCGCACAAGCGGUGGAGCAUGUGGUUUAUUCGAUGCACGCGAGAACCUUACCUACUCUUGACAUCCAGAGACUUACAAGAUGCUUUGGUGCCUUCGGGACUCUGAGACAGUGCUGCAUGGCUGUCGUCACUCUGUGUGAAUGUGGGUUAAGUUCCGCACGAACCCACCCUAUAUUGUUGGCAGCGAAUUCGUCGGAACUCAAAGGAAACUGCCCGGUGAUAACCGA
rnacentral:rRNA from 1 species